rnacentral:rRNA from 1 species
AGCGAACGCUGGCGGCAGGCUUAACACAUGCAAGUCGAACGGGCUUCUCCGGAAGUCAGUGGCAGCCGGGUUAGUAACACGUGGGAACGUACGCUUCGAUCCGGAAUAACACAUGGAGACUUGAGCUAGUACCGGAUACGCCCUUCUGGUGGUAGGUUUGCUGCCGAGGUGUCGGCCCGCGUCUGAUUGGCUUGUGGGUGGGGUAACGGCCUGCCAAGGCGAGGAUUAGUAGCUGGUCUGAGAGGGUGUUCAGCCACAGUGGGACUGGGACCCGGACCAGACCCGUACGGGGGACAGCAGUGGGUAAUAUUAGAGAAGGGGCGCUAGCCUAGUCAAGCCAUGCGGCGUGAGAGAGGAAUGCCGUUGGAUUGUAAAGUUCUUUUGUCCGGGACGUUAAUGACGGUAACGGAAGAAUAAGCCCCGGCUAACUUCGUG